UACGAAGGGGGCUAGCGUUGCUCGGAAUCACUGGGCGUAAAGCGCACGUAGGCGGAUUGUUAAGUCGGGGGUGAAAUCCUGGAGCUCAACUCCAGAACUGCCUUCGAUACUGGCGAUCUUGAGUCCGGGAGAGGUGAGUGGAACUCCGAGUGUAGAGGUGAAAUUCGUAGAUAUUCGGAAGAACACCAGUGGCGAAGGCGGCUCACUGGCCCGGUACUGACGCUGAGGCGCGAAAGCGUGGGGAGCAAACGGG
rnacentral:rRNA from 1 species